AACGAACGCUGGCGGCAGGCCUAACACAUGCAAGUCGAGCGAGGACUUCGGUCCUAGCGGCGGACGGGUGAGUAACGCGUGGGAACGUGCCCUUUGCUUCGGAAUAGCCCUGGGAAACUGGGAGUAAUACCGGAUGAGCCCUUUGGGGGAAAGAUUUAUCGGCGAAGGAUCGGCCCGCGUUGGAUUAGGUAGUUGGUGGGGUAAUGGCCUACCAAGCCGACGAUCCAUAGCUGGUUUGAGAGGAUGAUCAGCCACACUGGGACUGAGACACGGCCCAGACUCCUACGGGAGGCAGCAGUGGGGAAAUCUUAGACAAUGGGGGAAACCCUGAUCUAGCCAUGCCGCGUGAGCGAUGAAGGCCUUAGGGUUGUAAAGCUCUUUCAGCUGGGAAGAUAAUGACGGUACCAGCAGAAGAAGCCCCGGCUAACUCCGUG
rnacentral:rRNA from 1 species